AGGACGAACGCUGGCGGCGUGCCUAACACAUGCAAGUGGAGCGACGAACCAGGCUUCGGCCUGGGGCAAAGCCGCGAACGGGUGAGUAACACGUGGGCAACCUGCCCUCAGCACUGGGAUAACCCCGAGAAAUCGGGGCUAAUACCGGAUACUACCUCCGACGGCAUCAUCGGUGGUGGAAAGCUCCGGCGGCUGAGGAUGGGCCCGCGGCCUAUCAGCUUGUUGGUGGGGUCACGGCCCACCAAGGCGACGACGGGUAGCCGGCCUGAGAGGGCGACCGGCCACACUGGGACUGAGACACGGCCCAGACUCCUACGGGAGGCAGCAGUGGGGAAUAUUGCGCAAUGGGCGAAAGCCUGACGCAGCGACGCCGCGUGAGGGAUGAAGGCCUUCGGGUUGUAAACCUCUUUCAGCAGGGACGAAGCGAAAGUGACUGUACCUGCAGAAGAAGCACCGGCUACUACGUGCCAGCAGCCGCGGU
rnacentral:rRNA from 1 species